CAAGUUCCACAGUUAGACACUAUUAUAGUUCCCAUAAGUGGAGGUGGCUUGAUAUCAGGUGUGGCUUUGGCUGCCAAGGCCAUCAACCCUGCAAUUCGAGUUUUAGCUGCUGAGCCUGAGGGAGCCAACGAUGCAGCUCAAUCCAAAGCAGCUGGGAGGAUAAUAACAUUGUCUGAGACCAACACUGUAGCAUGGUGGUGGUGAGUUUCUCAUGAGUUGCUUCAUUGGAGGGUUGAUGACAGAGCUUCACCAGGACUUGUACUUGCUUCGUUUUGUUUCUAUUGAAGAAGCCUCUACGCCAACUCUAAAAUUGCUCAAGGCUAUGGUGAUACAGGACUUUAUCAAGAAUUGUUCAGUUGUCAUUUUCCUUGAUUCUGGUAGUUCAUGAAAUUUCAUUGAUUUGGCACUAUUCAAGUGGUUAGGGUCCAGGAUUAUGAUUGUGUCCACACUGUUUUUACUCUUCCAUUGGGGAAUUGCAUUCUUGAUUUUGACCUUGGCUACCUUCUGGGCAUACGUGACCAAAGUGGUGGAUUUGAAGUUGAUAAUGGGCAUACUGGAAAAGAAGAAAAUU